UAACCAGUGAAGAGAGCGGAGGAGCGGUAUAGUGUGAGAGAACUUGGGGAGGUUGAAGACAAUAACAAAACAUUCACA